UACGUAGGGUGCAAGCGUUUAAUCGGAAUUACUGGGCGUAAAGCGUGCGCAGGCGGUUUUGUAAGUUUGUCGUGAAAUCCCCGGGCUCAACCUGGGAAUGGCGAUGAAGACUGCAAGGCUAGAGUUUGGCAGAGGGGGGGUAGAAUUCCACGUGUAGCAGUGAAAUGCGUAGAUAUGUGGAGGAACACCGAUGGCGAAGGCAGCCCCCCUGGGUCAAAAACUGACGCUCAUGCACGAAAGCGUGGGGGAGCAAACAG
rnacentral:rRNA from 1 species